UCAGCGGCACCACUGGCGGUGGAUUCGCUCGGUUGGUCCGCCGGCAAUGAUGCCAUGCGGUUCGAUUCUAAAUCCGAACCGUACAGAACGGGAACUUUCCAGACAAAGAGAGAGAGAUUCCUUGGGCGUACCUUUAGCUCUUUAAAAGGUGAUUAACUCUAACUAGAUCGAACAAAAGUAAAAAGUUAUAAAUAUAUAUAUAUCAGCAUAUAAUAAUGCUCCUAUUUGGUAGCCGAGAAUAUGUUGUAAAACAAAUUAAACAAAUGAACAAAGAAAUCUCUUGGAUGUUUCUAGCUGAAAAUAUGUAAGAUUAGUCGGCCAAAUUCAACUGCUAGUGUCUUAUAUAUAUAUAUGAUAACUCAUGUUAAUACUAACAGUUUCUUGUUGUUGUGAUCUAUUUGACCUAAUCAAGGACUUGACUCGUGUCUUUUAUCAAUCAAAGACAAAUACGUUUUACAAAAUCAAAAUAUUCAAAUCUAACAAGAAGAAGAAGAAGAAGUGGAAAAAGGAGUAUCAAAAUAAAUACCCGCAACUGGAAGAAAACGAUAAUUAUUUUCCCACCAACCGAACAAGAAGCAAGAAACCAGACUCAUGCGAUCAGACACCGUUUAAAGGCGGCGCGUAAGGAGUGGGAGAUGGAGGUAGGUUUUGUUAUUUUCUGGAAGGUUCUGGGUAGAGAAUAAGUGAUAAAAGGGAGAAUAAAGGGAAAUAGCGGAUUCGAGAAGAAGGAAAUAAAAAAGAAAUAAA
rnacentral:lncRNA from 1 species